AGAUCAGUGAGCAUCUCCUCAAGGUGCAGCUUCCACCACCAACACCACCAUGUUCUCCACACUGAUCCAUCUACUGCUGCUACUAACAGCUGCUGCAUCCUGGGUUGAUUGUAUAGAGCUGGAUCAGCCUGCAGUCAUGGUUGUUAAACCUGGAGAAUCUUUCUCCAUCUCCUGUAAGAUCACUGGAUAUUCAGCUGUAGGUGGAGGCUACACUAACUGGAUACGACACUCAUCAGGAAAAGCUCCAGAAUGGGUUGGAUGGUUCUAUGAUUCCGAAUCUAAAGGCACCAAAGAUUCACUGAACAGCAAGAUCAGUUUUACUGGAGAAUCUUCCAGCAACACAGUGUUUUUACAGGGGCAGAACUUCCAGUCUGAGGACAGCGCUGUGUAUUACUGCGCUCGAGAUGCACAGUGAUACAGUCUGCUGUAGAGGCUGUACAAAAACCCACAACUUCCCUCAUUCACACCAUCAGCAACUCUUCUAUAAUAACAAGUUACUUUAAAUGAGCGUUAGGGGGCAGUGUAUCCACAUUAUUCACAAUCUA